AUUAGAUACCCUAUUAUUAGAAAUGUAAAUUUAUUAUACUCAAUUAGUAUUAGUUAUGUUCUUAAAAAUUAAAAAAUUUGGCGGUAUUUUAGUCUUUUCAGAGGAACCUGUUCUGUAAUUGAUAGUCCACGAUUAAAUGUACUUUAUUUUUUAGUUUACAUAUCGUUGUAGUUAGAAUAUUUUAAUAGAAUAUAAAUAUUCAAGAUUUUUUAUUAAAAAAUAAAUCAAAUCAAGGUGUAGUUUAUAAUAAAGUAGUAAUGGGUUACAAUAAAUUUAUUUUAGGAUAAUUUUUAGUAUAGAAAUUUGAAUUUGGAUUUGAAAGUAAUUUUUAUAUAUUUUUAAUAUGAUUAUAGCUCUAAAAUAUGCAC
rnacentral:rRNA from 1 species